UAUAAGCUUAAAACAAUUUUAUUUCCACAAACAAGUGGAAAAAAUACAGAGAAGGCAAGAGGGUUGAAGUGAUAAAGCCAAACUGAUACCUUUGGAAUUGUUAAAAAAAAAUGAAUACGAAAUUAUACCAGCAUGUAUUUGCUUUGUGCUUCCUCUUCGUAAUCGCUGGUGAUGUUGGAACUUUCAUAAAUUUGAUUAUUAACAGCGGUCAGGAACUGGUGCAUCAUAAUCCCGCGUUACUAAUACCAGGGGCCGAUGCUGGAGUAGGACCAAUAACAAAACCGGCAUUGAACGAACUAGCUGAAAAGAAUGAUCACACAAGAAACAAACGAUCCUCGUGGGGAGGCAGAAGUGGAGGAAGUGGUAGCAGAGGUAGCAGAGGAGGGAGUGGUAGAAGAGGCAGCAGAGGUGGUUGGGGGUAAAUGAAGAAAACAAAUCAUGUUAUCAUGGAAUAUUUCAAAGUUUUGGUUCCGGAUAAACUUUAAAAAUACUUUUUUAUACAUCAUCUGCUUUUCAAAAUCGAAUUUGUCCAUAUAAGUCAAAAUAAAUUUUGAAACAUUAACAUUUUACCUCAUGAAAAAUAAGAAAAUUAGCGAAAAGCAGUGUGAUAAUUGAUGAAUGUUUCAUAAAACUUGCGAAUAAUGUAAAGGUUAGGAAAACUGUAUAUUUUUUUCGAUCUCAAUUCACAAACAAAUAAAAAAAGAAAACUUCCUAUUCUUUUAUCUAAUCCAUAAGAAGACACUGUAUCAUGUAUUGAGGAUCUAUGCAUUCCUUUAUCAUAACAAGUUGUAUAUCUAUGGAAUGUUAUAUUUAUACGAUACUUAUAAAAUAAGUUUUAUUCCAUACAA